UACAGAGGGUGCAAGCGUUGUUCGGAAUUAUUGGGCGUAAAGCGCGUGUAGGCGGCCUAGCAUGUCGGGUGUGAAAGCCCUCGCUUAACCGAGGAAGUGCGCCCGAAACUACUAGGCUUGAGUACCGGAGAGGGUGGCGGAAUUCCCGGUGUAGAGGUGAAAUUCGUAGAUAUCGGGAGGAACACCAGCGGCGAAGGCGGCCACCUGAGCGGAUACUGACGCUGAGACGCGAAAGCGUGGGGAGCAAACAGG
rnacentral:rRNA from 1 species